rnacentral:rRNA from 1 species
GAUGAACGCUGGCGGCGUGCCUAAUACAUGCAAGUCGAGCGAACGGACGAGAAGCUUGCUUCUCUGAUGUUAGCGGCGGACGGGUGAGUAACACGUGGAUAACCUACCUAUAAGACUGGGAUAACUUCGGGAAACCGGAGCUAAUACCGGAUGAUAUUUUGAACCGCAUGGUUCAAAAGUGAAAGACGGUCUUGCUGUCACUUAUAGAUGGAUCCGCGCUGCAUUAGCUAGUUGGUAAGGUAACGGCUUACCAAGGCAACGAUGCAUAGCCGACCUGAGAGGGUGAUCGGCCACACUGGAACUGAGACACGGUCCAGACUCCUACGGGAGGCAGCAGUAGGGAAUCUUCCGCAAUGGGCGAAAGCCUGACGGAGCAACGCCGCGUGAGUGAUGAAGGUCUUCGGAUCGUAAAACUCUGUUAUUAGGGAAGAACAUAUGUGUAAGUAACUGUGCACCUUGACGGUACCUAAUCAGAAAGCCACGGCUAACUACGUG